CUCUUGACCGGCCAUUCCUAUCCUCGUCUUCCAAAUAUCUCGAUUAAAACCUGACUUGGAGAUCAAAUCUGAACAUAAUGGAGCCUUUCCGCAAUCCUUUUCUCUCAUUUCUGGUAUAAGGGGGAUCGAUCCAUCGUCUAACUUCGGUAGCUUGUCUCACUGCUUUUUUUUUUUCGGAUGUUUUCUACCAAGUAUUUUUCUUCUCCUUCCUCCGUUUGCUCCGUGGCUAAGAGGUGAGCCACUUUAUUACCAUCUCUCUGGCUGUACUUGUACUCGCAGACUUGAAAUGUUUUUGCUAAUUGUUGUGCGUCCCAAAUUAGUGCACUUAUUUCUGAUUUGACUGGGCUUUGAGAAGCUAGCUUCGCCAUUAUUGAUUUUGAAUCUCCCUCCAAUAUGAUUUUCCUAAAUUCGAGAUCAGCUGCUAGUUGAAGAGUAGGGCCUGCUGCGAUGGUUUCUGCUGUGAAUGUUGUUGGAACCCCCAAGCUGGCGUCAAAGUUUAAUUUGUCUAUGUAUGUUGCGGGUGGGUUCCAUCUUGUGACGACUCUUUGUGUUGUUCUUUCGGUUCUGCAUGUAGUCGUGUCGAACUGUUGAUAAUUGUUGCGGAUAAAGAUAUUAUCAAGGAUCCAGCUAAGCCAUUCUUUGAAUGACCAUUUUGAGCUUUGAGUUGACCACUGGUAAGAUAGCUUCAGCCAUACCUCUGUUACCAGUGUACAGUCUGUAAUGGAGCAUUUGUUUUGUUGGAACAUAAGCAUUGCAUAAUUUUCAGAUUUGGAUUUUGAUUUUCCUUUGGCAUUCAUUAAACCAUAGAUUCUUGUAAGGCAUGGUAUUUGAUUUUGUAGUUUCUUCUCCUUUGAUCAGUACUCGA